AAAUAAAUAUUUGUGAUUUAUGGAUUUUAUUUUAAGUUUAAUUUACAUAUAAAUUUUAGUGUUAAUUUUAUAGUAUUUAAAUAAUAUAAUAUAAAAUAUAUAGUAAUUAAAAUUAAAAAUUUAAGAAAUUAAGAUUUAGUAAUACAUUAAAAUUAAAUAACAAAUUUUGUGCCAGCAGUUGCGGUUAUACAAAAAUUUAAAUAAAUUUUAUUAGUUAGAAUAAAUAAUUAAUAAUAUAUAAAUUAAAUUUAGAAUUAUAAGGUGAAAUUUUAAUUUUAAUAAAAUUUAAAUAUGAUUUAUGAAUUUAAAAAUUUCAUUAUUAAACUAGGAUUAGAUACCCUAUUAUAAGAAAAUUAAUUAAUUUAGCUAAAAUAGUAUAUAAUUAUUUAUUGAAACUUAAAUAAUUUGGCGGUAUUUUAGUUCAUUUAGAGGAAUCUGUCUAGUAAUUGAUAAUCCACGAAUAAUACAUAUUUAAUUUAAAAUUUUAUAUAUCGUUGUUAAAAAAAUAUUUUUUAUAAAAAAUAAUAUUUUAAAAUUAAGAUAAAAAAUUAAUUCAGAUCAAGAUGUAGAUAAUAAUUAAAGUGAGGAUGGAUUACAAUAUAAUAAUAUAAAUGAAUAAUAAUUUUGUAAUAAUUAUUUGAAAGUGGAUUUAAAUGUAAUUUUAUUUAAUUUAAUAAAAUGAUUAAAAAUUGAAAUAUGUACAUAUUGCCCGUCACUUUCAUUUAAAAAUUGGAAUAAGUCGUAACAAAGUAGGGAUACUGGAAAGUGUUCCUAGAAAGA
rnacentral:ncRNA from 1 species